AACGAACGCUGGCGGCGUGGAUAAGACAUGCAAGUCGAGCGGGAACUUUCGCUGUAGCAAUACAGUGAAAGUUCUAGCGGCGAACGGGUGCGUAACACGUGGACAAUCUGCCUUAAAGUGGGGGAUAGCUCGGCGAAAGCCGAAUUAAUACCGCAUGUGAUGAGAGACGACAUCGUCUUGAAAUCAAAGCCGGGGCAACCUGGCGCUUUUUGAGGAGUCCGCGGCCAUCAGCUAGUUGGUGAGGUAACGGCCCACCAAGGCUAUGACGGGUAGCUGGUCUGAGAGGACGACCAGUCACACUGGAACUGAGACACGGUCCAGACACCUACGGGUGGCAGCAGUCGAGUAAUUUUUG
rnacentral:rRNA from 1 species